GAUGAACGCUGACAGAAUGCUUAACACAUGCAAGUCGAUGGGGAAGUGGUGCUUGCACCCUGGCAACCAUGGCGGACGGGUGAGUAACGCGUAAGGGACUUACCUGCAGGACUGGGAUAACAGGGGGAAACUCCUGACAAGACCGGAUAAUGUCAUGGAGCUGCAUGGCUUUAUGAUGAAAGGAGACGCCUGCGGAGAGCCUUGCGUCCUAUUAGCUAGUUGGUGAGGUAAUGGCUCACCAAGGCGAAGAUAGGUAGCCGGCCUGAGAGGGUGGACGGCCACAGGGGGACUGAGAUACGGCCCUUACUCCUACGGGAGGCAGCAGUGGGGAAUAUUGGACAAUGGGGGCAACCCUGAUCCAGCAAUUCUGUGUGCACGAAGAAGGUUUUAGGAUUGUAAAGUGCUUUCAGCAGGGAAGAAGUAAGUGACGGUACCUGCAGAAGAAGCGACGGCUAAAUACGUG
rnacentral:rRNA from 1 species